CGUGGAUCUGCAGGGAGUGGAAGCUGCUAGCAAGGAAGGGCUCUUCUUCACAGGCUACAGAAGUGGGCAGAGAGGGUGAGGAUGGAAGGAAGACAAGGAACACUGGGUGGCCGGAACUUUACCAGGUUCAAACUCCUGGGCGGGCCCAGUAACUCAGGUGGUUGGAGCGCUGUGCUCCUAAUGCCGAAGUUGCUGGUGCUACCAGGAGCCAGCGUGAGCAGCCUGCAGCGGGAGAGAGCAGCCGUGAGCUGCCAUGAGCUGCUGCAAGUGGCCGACUGAGGACCUACGACUGACUUCCUCAGCCGGGGGGGGGGGGGGAGUGCAAGGCUCAUAAUCCCAGCAUGGGCCAGGGAGCUGUGUCCUACACAACUAGACUGCGAAACAACGGCUUGAACUGGAGUGGGGAGGGGGGAAGGUGGAAGGGGAAAACAAAGUUCAAAUUCCUUAGUAUGUCUUACAAGUAGGGUUACCAUAUAAGAGGGUGACCAAACAAGGACACUUUUGAGAGUGAAAGGUGGUGUUAUUAAUAAGUACGCUGGGGCAAUAGGCCUCUGGUCACUCUACUUAUCAGAUCCUUCAUGAUCUGGUCUCUCCAGCCCCAUCCCUCUUCGCAGCUCCGCAUCCUACCCUCAAACACACACACACACACACACACACACACACACACACACACACACGAGCCCCAUAUGUGUUCUUUUGGGUGUCUAGGUGUCAUGCAGGGUGUCAUGCAGCGUCUCAGUUCCCGCUCCCCUCUUAAGAACACAUGGUGAAGCCUAAAAGGAACACCCACGGAGCCAUAGAUAGGGGAGUCAUACCAUUGGCAGCCGGGCGAGACAUACGAAGUAGAAGCCACACUAUCCGCAACCCGCCGUCCCCUUUUCUGCCUGCCAACCAGCUGACCAACCAACGCAAUCAUGGCAAUUACAACGGUAGCCAAUUGGCCAACCAGCUACAGCCAACAGCCAACCACCACUGGAGCCAGCACCUCCCCAUGUGAGGCCGAGAGCCUGGAAACUGCUCUCUGGGACUCCGUCCCCACAUUCCACCCCUCCAGGGUCUUGCCUCACAAUCUACGUGACAAUCAUCUUCCGUGAGGGGCCCUGUGUGGUAUUAACCUAUAGGCACCUAUGGGUGGAAAGAAACAGUAGUCUUAGGAACCAACAAUGGUAAAUC